rnacentral:rRNA from 1 species
AAGCUUAUUCUAGCCCAACCAUACCCAGCCAAAUAUAAAUAAAUCNACAAACCCACUUACAUCCCCUAACUAAAACAUUCUUCCAACUUAGUAUAGGCGAUAGAAAAGACACCCGUCCUUGGCGCGAUAGAAAUUUGUACCGUAAGGGAAAGAUGAAAUAACAAUGAACUAAACCAAGCAAUAAACAGCAAAGAUGAACCCUUGUACCUUUUGCAUCAUGAUUUAGCAAGAACAACCAAGCAAGACGAAUUUAAGUUUGCCCCCCCGAAACCCAAGCGAGCUACUCGCAAGCAGCUACCCGUGAGCGAACCCGUCUCUGUUGCAAAAGAGUGGGAUGACUUGCUAGUAGAGGUGAAAAGCCAACCGAGCUGGGCGAUAGCUGGUUACCUGUGAAACGAAUUUAAGUUCUCCCUUGAUUAUUCUCCACGGACACUCUUACCUAACCCCCACGAAGCAGAUCAAGAGCAAUUCAAAGGAGGUACAGCUCCUUUGAAAAAGAGCAUAAUCUCCCUUAGCGGAUAACCGCCCAACACCUCUAGAACUGUAGGCCUUAAAGCAGCCACCAACAAAAAGUGCGUCAAAGCUUCCCACACAAAGAUUCAUAGAACAGCGGGACUCCCUCCUCACUAACAGGNCAACCUAUAUCAAUAGAAGAAUCAAUGCUAAAAUGAGUAACCAGGGAACCCCCUCUUAAGCGCAAGCUUACAUCCUCAUAUUAUUAACAGACCAACUGAUACAUCAAACUCAACAAGACCGAGUAUCAAACCUACCCUGUUAACCCAACCCAGGAGCGCAUACUAGANAGAUUAAAAUCUGUAAAAGGAACUAGGCAAACCCAAGGCCCGACUGUUUACCAAAAACAUAGCCUUCAGCAAGCCAAGUAUUGAAGGUGAUGCCUGCCCAGUGACACUAUGUUCAACGGCCGCGGUAUCCUAACCGUGCGAAGGUAGCGCAAUCAAUUGUCCCAUAAAUCGAGACUUGUAUGAAUGGCUAAANNAGGNCUUAACNGUCUCUUACAGAUAAUCGGUGAAAUUGAUCUCCCUGUGCAAAAGCAGGAAUAAGCACACAAGACGAGAAGACCCUGUGGAACUUAAAAAUCAGCGGCCACCACAUACACACCUAAUGCCUAUCAGGCCUACCAUGCCCAUAAACGUUGGCCCGCAUUUUUCGGUUGGGGCGNCCUUGGAGAAAAGCAAACCCUCCAAAAAUAAGACCACCCCUCUUAGCCAAGAGCAACCACUCGACGUGCUAAUAGUACCCAGACCCAAUACAAUUGAUAAAUGGACCAAGCUACCCCAGGGAUAACAGCGCAAUCUCCUCCAAGAGCCCAUAUCGACGAGGAGGUUUACGACCUCGAUGUUGGAUCAGGACACCCUAAUGGUGCAGCCGCUAUUAAGGGUUNGUUUGNUCAACGAUUAAUAGUCCUACGUGAUCUGAGUUCAGACCGGAGCGAUCCAGGUCGGUUUCUAUCUGUGAAUAGGUCUUCCCUAGUACGAAAGGACCGGGAAAACAGGGCCAAUACUAUCAAGCAUGCCCUACCUCCAAGUAAUGAUUCCAACUAAACUACCUAAGAGGCCUCUCACACUAUAACAUCCUAGAAAAGGAUAG